UACAGAGGGUGCGAGCGUUAAUCGGAAUUACUGGGCGUAAAGCGUGCGCAGGCGGUUUUGUAAGUCUGUCGUGAAAUCCCCGGGCUUAACCUGGGAAUUGCGAUGGAGACUGCAAGGCUAGAAUCUGGCAGAGGGGGUAGAAUUCCACGUGUAGCAGUGAAAUGCGUAGAGAUGUGGAGGAACACCGAUGGCGAAGGCAGCCCCCUGGGUCAAGAUUGACGCUCAUGCACGAAAGCGUGGGGAGCAAACAGG
rnacentral:rRNA from 1 species